rnacentral:rRNA from 1 species
ACGAACGCUGGCGGCGUGCUUAACACAUGCAAGUCGAACGGAAAGGCCCUGCUUUUGUGGGGUGCUCGAGUGGCGAACGGGUGAGUAACACGUGAGUAACCUGCCCUUGACUUUGGGAUAACUUCAGGAAACUGGGGCUAAUACCGGAUAGGAGCUCCUGCUGCAUGGUGGGGGUUGGAAAGUUUCGGCGGUUGGGGAUGGACUCGCGGCUUAUCAGCUUGUUGGUGGGGUAGUGGCUUACCAAGGCUUUGACGGGUAGCCGGCCUGAGAGGGUGACCGGCCACAUUGGGACUGAGAUACGGCCCAGACUCCUACGGGAGGCAGCAGUGGGGAAUAUUGCACAAUGGGCGGAAGCCUGAUGCAGCAACGCCGCGUGCGGGAUGACGGCCUUCGGGUUGUAAACCGCUUUCGCCUGUGACGAAGCGUGAGUGACGGUAAUGGGUAAAGAAGCACCGGCUAAGUACGUG